GUGGUUUAAUUUCGAUGAUACGCGAGAAACCUUACCAGGGCUUGACAUAUACAGGAAUGUUGUAGAGAUACAGCAGCCGCUUGCGGUCUGUAUACAGGUGCUGCAUGGCUGUCGUCAGCUCGUGCUGUGAAGUGUUGGGUUAAGUCCCGCAACGAGCGCAACCCUGCUAUCUGUUGCCAGCAAGUAAUGUUGGGGACUCAGAUGGAACUGCCGGUGACAAACCGGAGGAAGGUGGGGACGACGUCAAGUCAUCAUGGCCCUUAUGUCCUGGGCUACACACGUGCUACAAUGGCCGGUACAGAGCGCAGCGAAGCCGCGAGGUGGAGCGAAUCGCAAAAAGCCGGUCUCAGUACGGAUUGGAGUCUGAAACCCGACUCCAUGAAGUUGGAAUCGCUAGUAAUCGCGCAUCAGCAUGGCGCGGUGAAUCCGUUCCCGGGCCUU
rnacentral:rRNA from 1 species